rnacentral:pre_miRNA from 1 species
GGCCCACUCGCACGCCGCCUGCGCGCGCUGGGGCCUGGGCGCGCCGCUGCGGCCCGUGUACGUGGCGCUGGGGCGCGAGGCGGUGCGCGCCGGCC